AUGCAGGCACACGGGAAGCCAGUUGUACACGGAGGCGAAGCGUUGUUCAGACCCUGCUGCCAUGUUAACUAUGGUGAAGGCACAGUUGACCACUGGAAGAGUCCUUCAGUGUGGGGGCCUUCAUCGGUCUUGGCAAGCACCAAUUUUCAUGGAGACGGGAAAAGUGUGAAAGAAUUGUUUGGAGAGGAAGGAAAGAAGUUGUGGACUGGAGACAUUUCCAGUGCUCAGGCACGCAGGGCUCCACAGAGUUAUCUACAUUUGCUGUCCCUUGGAGCAGCAGAGAAGAAAACGGUUGGGACAUAUUCUGAACAGACUGUAGAGCUGAAUCGCGCAGAAUUUGAAGAUCAAGAUGAUGAAGCCAGAGUUCAGUAUGAGGGUUUUCGACCUGGGAUGUACGUCCGCGUUGAGAUUGAAAAUGUUCCCUGUGAAUUUGUGCAGAACUUUGACCCCCAUUACUCCAUUAUCCUGGGUGGCUUGGGCAACAGUGAGGGAAAUGUUGGAUACGUGCAGAUGCGUCUGAAGAAACAUCGCUGGUAUAAGAAAAUCCUCAAGUCCCGAGAUCCAAUCAUAUUUUCUGUAGGGUGGAGGAGGUUUCAGACCAUCCCACUCUAUUAUAUCGAAGACCACAAUGGAAGACAAAGGCUUCUAAAGUAUACGCCACAGCACAUGCAUUGCGGAGCAGCCUUUUGGGGGCCUAUCACUCCACAGGGAACUGGUUUCUUGGCAAUACAGUCUGUCAGUGGAAGAAUUAUAAUGCCUGAUUUUCGGAUAGCUGCCACAGGAGUUGUCCUUGAUCUGGAUAAAUCCAUAAAAAUUGUGAAGAAAUUAAAGCUAACUGGUUUUCCAUAUAAAAUUUUCAAGAAUACUUCAUUUAUUAAGGGAAUGUUUAAUUCUGCCUUGGAAGUAGCCAAAUUUGAAGGUGCUGUGAUUCGAACUGUCAGUGGGAUAAGGGGGCAGAUCAAGAAAGCGCUCUGAGCUCCAGAAGGAGCUUUCCGGGCCAGCUUUCAGGAUAAGCUGCUGAUGAGUGAUAUUGUCUUCAUGCAAACUUGGUAUCCUGUUUCCAUCCCAGCCUUCUAUAACCCAGUAGCAUCUUUGUUGAAACCCAGUGGGUGAGAAAGACACCUGGUCAGGAAUGUGGACCACCAGCCAACUCGGGCUUACCCAUGGCGUCAGACUAAAGGCGAACAAGGACUCUCUGUGUAAGCCAGUCCUAAGGCAAUCCUGAGGCAAAAAUUCACUGCAGAUUCCAAAAGCCUCGCAGAAGGCCCUGACAUUUAAGAACAAGCCCAAGAACCAAGCAAAGGCAGGCAAGGUGCCGAAGAACAGGUGGAGACCGGCCGUCAUACGCGAGCCUCAUGAAAGACAGAUCCUCGCACUGCUGGAUGCUCUGAGUACGGUGCACAGUCAGAAGAUGAAGAAGGCCAAGGAGCAGCAGCACCUGCACAAUAAGGAGCACUUCAGAGCCAAGCAGAAGGAGGAGGAGGAGAAGCUGAAGCGGCAGAAGGACCUCAGGAAGAAGCUCUUCCGAAUUCAGGGGGAGAAGGAAAGAAGCAACCAGAAGUCCAGUUUGAAGGGGGCUGAGGGCCAGUUGCAGUAAGCCUUUGGACUGGAGGGACUGUCCCUGGAUCUGCGGAGGUGCACGGUUUCAAACAUCACAGUUUGAAUGCCUGUGAAUGACAAGUCAGUGGGCAAGAGCCCAAGAGAUGUCUCUACCCAAACUGUGCCUGCAAGAGGAGGAACGGAGAAGCCUGGACUGCUGGGACUGGGUUCGUUCUCACCACCUGGGGCUGUCGAGAUUUAAAGUGAUGUAAGCUGUGGUUAUGUGGAUUCUCUUACUUUCCUCUGCCUGCCUCAGUUUAAUUAUUUUGUGCUACAAAACUAUCAUUACAAUUUUUUUUUGUUAGUUU